rnacentral:rRNA from 1 species
GGUUAAGCGACUAAGCGUACACGGUGGAUGCCCUGGCAGUCAGAGGCGAUGAAGGACGUGCUAAUCUGCGAAAAGCGUCGGUAAGGUGAUAUGAACCGUUAUAACCGGCGAUGUCCGAAUGGGGAAACCCAGUGUGAUUCGUCACACUAUCGUUAACUGAAUACAUAGGUUAACGAGGCGAACCGGGGGAACUGAAACAUCUAAGUACCCCGAGGAAAAGAAAUCAACCGAGAUUCCCCCAGUAGCGGCGAGCGAACGGGGAGCAGCCCAGAGUCUGAAUCAGCUUGUGUGUUAGUGGAACGGUCUGGAAAGUCCGACGGUACAGGGUGAUAGUCCCGUACACCAAAAUGCACAGGCUGUGAACUCGAAGAGUAGGGCGGGACACGUGGUAUCCUGUCUGAAUAUGGGGGGACCAUCCUCCAAGGCUAAAUACUCCUGACUGACCGAUAGUGAACCAGUACCGUGAGGGAAAGGCGAAAAGAACCCCGGCGAGGGGAGUGAAAAAGAACCUGAAACCGUGUACGUACAAGCAGUGGGAGCACCUUCGGGUGUGACUGCGUACCUUUUGUAUAAUGGGUCAGCGACUUAUAUUCUGUAGCAAGGUUAACCGUAUAGGGGAGCCGCAGGGAAACCGAGUCUUAACUGGGCGUUAAGUUGCAGGGUAUAGACCCGAAACCCGGUGAUCUAGCCAUGGGCAGGUUGAAGGUUGGGUAACACUAACUGGAGGACCGAACCGACUAAUGUUGAAAAAUUAGCGGAUGACUUGUGGCUGGGGGUGAAAGGCCAAUCAAACCGGGAGAUAGCUGGUUCUCCCCGAAAGCUAUUUAGGUAGCGCCUCGUGAAUUCAUCUUCGGGGGUAGAGCACUGUUUCGGCUAGGGGGUCAUCCCGACUUACCAACCCGAUGCAAACUACGAAUACCGAAGAAUGUUAUCACGGGAGACACACGGCGGGUGCUAACGUCCGUCGUGAAGAGGGAAACAACCCAGACCGCCAGCUAAGGUCCCAAAGUCAUGGUUAAGUGGGAAACGAUGUGGGAAGGCACAGACAGCCAGGAUGUUGGCUUAGAAGCAGCCAUCAUUUAAAGAAAGCGUAAUAGCUCACUGGUCGAGUCGGCCUGCGCGGAAGAUGUAACGGGGCUAAACCAUGCACCGAAGCUGCGGCAGCGACACUAUGUGUUGUUGGGUAGGGGAGCGUUCUGUAAGCCUGCGAAGGUGACCUGUGAGGGUUGCUGGAGGUAUCAGAAGUGCGAAUGCUGACAUAAGUAACGAUAAAGCGGGUGAAAAGCCCGCUCGCCGGAAGACCAAGGGUUCCUGUCCAACGUUAAUCGGGGCAGGGUGAGUCGACCCCUAAGGCGAGGCCGAAAGGCGUAGUCGAUGGGAAACAGGUUAAUAUUCCUGUACUUGGUGUUACUGCGAAGGGGGGACGGAGAAGGCUAUGUUAGCCGGGCGACGGUUGUCCCGGUUUAAGCAUGUAGGCUGGUUAUCCAGGCAAAUCCGGAUAAUCAAGGCUGAGGUGUGAUGACGAGGCACUACGGUGCUGAAGUAACAAAUGCCCUGCUUCCAGGAAAAGCCUCUAAGCAUCAGGUAACAUUAAAUCGUACCCCAAACCGACACAGGUGGUCAGGUAGAGAAUACCAAGGCGCUUGAGAGAACUCGGGUGAAGGAACUAGGCAAAAUGGUGCCGUAACUUCGGGAGAAGGCACGCUGGUGUGUAGGUGAAGUCCCUGCGGAUGGAGCUGAGACCAGUCGAAGAUACCAGCUGGCUGCAACUGUUUAUUAAAAACACAGCACUGUGCAAACACGAAAGUGGACGUAUACGGUGUGACGCCUGCCCGGUGCCGGAAGGUUAAUUGAUGGGGUUAUCCGUAAGGAGAAGCUCUUGAUCGAAGCCCCGGUAAACGGCGGCCGUAACUAUAACGGUCCUAAGGUAGCGAAAUUCCUUGUCGGGUAAGUUCCGACCUGCACGAAUGGCGUAAUGAUGGCCAGGCUGUCUCCACCCGAGACUCAGUGAAAUUGAACUCGCUGUGAAGAUGCAGUGUACCCGCGGCAAGACGGAAAGACCCCGUGAACCUUUACUAUAGCUUGACACUGAACAUUGAGCCUUGAUGUGUAGGAUAGGUGGGAGGCUUUGAAGCGUGGACGCCAGUCUGCGUGGAGCCAACCUUGAAAUACCACCCUUUAAUGUUUGAUGUUCUAACGUUGGCCCCUUACCGGGGUUGCGGACAGUGUCUGGUGGGUAGUUUGACUGGGGCGGUCUCCUCCCAAAGCGUAACGGAGGAGCACGAAGGUUAGCUAAUCCUGGUCGGACAUCAGGAGGUUAGUGCAAUGGCAUAAGCUAGCUUGACUGCGAGCGUGACGGCGCGAGCAGGUGCGAAAGCAGGUCAUAGUGAUCCGGUGGUUCUGAAUGGAAGGGCCAUCGCUCAACGGAUAAAAGGUACUCCGGGGAUAACAGGCUGAUACCGCCCAAGAGUUCAUAUCGACGGCGGUGUUUGGCACCUCGAUGUCGGCUCAUCACAUCCUGGGGCUGAAGUAGGUCCCAAGGGUAUGGCUGUUCGCCAUUUAAAGUGGUACGCGAGCUGGGUUUAGAACGUCGUGAGACAGUUCGGUCCCUAUCUGCCGUGGGCGCUGGAGAAUUGAGGGGGGCUGCUCCUAGUACGAGAGGACCGGAGUGGACGCAUCACUGGUGUUCGGGUUGUCAUGCCAAUGGCACUGCCCGGUAGCUAAAUGCGGAAGAGAUAAGUGCUGAAAGCAUCUAAGCACGAAACUUGCCCCGAGAUGAGUUCUCCCUGAGACUUUAAGUCUCCUGAAGGAACGUUGAAGACGACGACGUUGAUAGGCCGGGUGUGUAAGCGCAGCGAUGCGUUGAGCUAACCGGUACUAAUGAACCGUGAGGCUUAACCUU